rnacentral:hammerhead_ribozyme from 1 species
AUUCGGUAGCGGGACGCAAAACCCGCCUGACGAGGCCCACGGCGAUGGGCCGAAACCGAAC